rnacentral:rRNA from 1 species
AUUGAACGCUGGCGGCAGGCUUAACACAUGCAAGUCGAGCGGGGAAGGGUAGCUUGCUACCUAACCUAGCGGCGGACGGGUGAGUAAUGCUUAGGAAUCUGCCUAUUAGUGGGGGACAACAUUCCGAAAGGAAUGCUAAUACCGCAUAUGCCCUACGGGGGAAAGCAGGGGAUCUUCGGACCUUGCGCUAAUAGAUGAGCCUAAGUCAGAUUAGCUAGUUGGUGGGGUAAAGGCCUACCAAGGCGACGAUCUGUAGCGGGUCUGAGAGGAUGAUCCGCCACACUGGGACUGAGACACGGCCCAGACUCCUACGGGAGGCAGCAGUGGGGAAUAUUGGACAAUGGGCGAAAGCCUGAUCCAGCCAUGCCGCGUGUGUGAAGAAGGCCUUUUGGUUGUAAAGCACUUUAAGCGAGGAGGAGGCUACCGAGAUUAAUACUCUUGGAUAGUGGACGUUACUCGCAGAAUAAGCACCGGCUAACUCUGUGCCAGCAGCCGCCGUAAGAC